GACGAACGCUGGCGGCGUGCCUAAUACAUGCAAGUCGAGCGGACGAAUCGAAAGCUUGCUUUUGAUUCGUUAGCGGCGGACGGGUGAGUAACACGUGGGCAACCUGCCCUGUAGACGGGGAUAACACCGAGAAAUCGGUGCUAAUACCGGAUAACACGAAAUGUCGCAUGACGUUUCGUUGAAAGACGGCGCAAGCUGCCGCUACAGGAUGGGCCCGCGGCGCAUUAGCUAGUUGGUGAGGUAACGGCUCACCAAGGCGACGAUUCGUAGCCGACCUGAGAGGGUGAUCGGCCACACUGGGACUGAGACACGGCCCAGACUCCUACGGGAGGCAGCAGUAGGGAAUCUUCCGCAAUGGACGAAAGUCUGACGGAGCAACGCCGCGUGAGCGAAGAAGGCCUUCGGGUCGUAAAGCUCUGUUGUUAGGGAAGAACAAGUAACGCAGUAACUGGCGUUACCGUGACGGUACCUAACGAGAAAGCCACGGCUAACUACGUG
rnacentral:rRNA from 1 species